rnacentral:lncRNA from 1 species
UAACAAGCUCAGGUUUUUGAAAAGGAUAAAAUCUGAGGUCAGGAGUUUGAGACCAACCUGGCCAACAUGGCAAAACCCCAUCUCUACUAAAAGAUAUACAAAUUAGCUGGGCAUGGUGGCACACGCCUGUAAUCCAGCUACUCGGGAGGCUGAAGCACAAGAAUUGCUUGAACCCGGGAGACAGACGUUGCCGUGAGCCGAAAUCACACCACUGUGCUCUAGCCUGGGUGACAGAGUGAGACUCUGUCUCAAAAAGAAGAAAAGGAUAAAAUGGCAGGUACCCAUCCUUGGCACCCCUAUACCUGAGCCUGCCCUCAUCUGACCCUCUCUUCUUCACCAGCCCCAUCGCAAGUAUACCCAGCUUUAUCCUCCACAUCAGGGGCUGAG